GUUGGUGAGGUAAYGGCUCACCAAGGCGACGAUCCCUAGCUGGUYUUGAGAGGAUGAUCAGCCACACUGGAACUGAGACACGGUCCAGACUCCUACGGGAGGCAGCAGUGGGGAAUAUUGCACAAUGGGCGCAAGCCUGAUGCAGCCAUGCCGCGUGUAUGAAGAAGGCCUUCGGGUUGUAAAGUACUUUCAGCGGGGAGGAAGGGAGUAAAGUUAAUACCUUUGCUCAUUGACGUUACCCGCAGAAGAAGCACCGGCUAACUCCGUGCCAGCAGCCGCGGUAAUACGUAGGGUGCGAGCGUUAUCCGGAAUUAUUGGGCGUAAAGAGCUCGUAGGCGGUUUGUCGCGUCUGUCGUGAAAGUCCGGGGCUUAACCCCGGAUCUGCGGUGGUACGGGCAGACUAGAGUGCAGUAGGG
rnacentral:rRNA from 1 species